rnacentral:rRNA from 1 species
UACGUAGGGUGCAAGCGUUAAUCGGAAUUACUGGGCGUAAAGCGUGCGCAGGCGGUUAUGUAAGACAGUUGUGAAAUCCCCCGGGCUACAACCUGGGAACUGCAUCUGUGACUGCAUAGCUAGAGUACGGUAGAGGGGGAUGGAAUUCCGCGUGUAGCAGUGAAAUGCGUAGAUAUGCGGAGGAACACCGAUGGCGAAGGCAAUCCCCUGGACCUGUACUGACGCUCAUGCAC